rnacentral:rRNA from 1 species
AUGAAGCGGCUCCUCGUGGAGAGCGCAGGCCUCGUGCUCGACGUCGGCUGCCAUGACUACGGCGCCCUGGUGCAGCCCCACUUUCGCAAAUGGAUGGCCCUCUACGGACGUACGUUCGUCUCGUGGCCCGGGAAGAGGCUGGAAUUGUUCAUGGGGGACGUGGACAUGGUGAAGCAGGUGCUCUCUGACCGCUCGGGGCUGUUCCCAAAGAAUCCCAUCAACCACCACUUUGCCUGCUUGCUCGGCAAAGGGCUCAUCCUCAUCGACGGCAACGAGUGGAAGCGCCACCGCAAGGUCGUCCACCCAGUCUUCAGUGUCGACAAGCUAAAGAUGUUGGCAGUAACGGUGUCUGAUUGUGUUGGGUUGAUGCUGUCGGACCGGGAAGCAAAGUUGGAGAAGAGUAGUGGCCAUGUGGAAGUCGAUAUUAGUUGCCAGUUCGAGAAGGUUGCGGCCAACGUGAUCUCACGCGUGGCAUUUGGGAGAAACCACAAAGAGGCCAAGCAAGUCUAUCUGGCGCAGAAAGAGCUCCAAUUUCUUGCCUUCUCUAGUUUAUUCAAUGUUUGGAACCUCGUCCCAGGAUUCAGGUACCUUCCUACGAAAAAUAACGUAAAGAUGCAUACGCUCAACAAAGAGGUGAGGAGCAUACUCGUCAACAUCAUCAAAAAUCGCCUUAACUGCAAGGACACCAUGGGAUACGGGAACGACAUGCUUGGGAUAAUCCUGAAUGCUUGCGGGCCAGAGCACGUGCAAAACCCACUCAUGAGCAUGGACGAGAUCAUAGAAGAGUGCAAGACCUUCUACUUAGCUGGCCAUGAGACCACUGCAUAGCUGCUCACCUGGACCACGUUCUUGUUAAGCACCCACUCAGAGUGGCAAGAGAAGCUUAGGGAGGAGGUGACGAGAGAGAGUGGCACGGAAAUCCCUGCUGGCGACAUGCUCAACAAUAUGAAGCUAGUCGACAUGUUCAUUCUAGAAACUCUCAGGCUAUAUGGCCCCGUCACCAACAUCCAGAGGAAAACAGGCAGCAAUCUUGAGCUCAGGGGUAUUAGGGUGCCGGAAGGCACAAUUCUAUCGACCCUGAUCAAGACGAUACACCGCGACAAGGAGCUCUGGGGUGAGGACGCUGAAGAGUUCAAGCCUCAGAGGUUCAAGAAUGGGGUGAGCAGGGCCGCAAAGCACCCGUACGCAUUUCUGCCUUUCUCUAUGGGGCCCAGGGCUUGCAUUGGGCAAAACUUUACCAUGAUCGAGGCCAAGGUUGUGCUCGCGAUGAUCCUGCAGAGGUUCUCAGUCUCACUAUCCCCAAAGUAUGUCCAUGCACCCAUGGAUGUAUUCACGAUACGACCGAGAUAUGGGCUUCAAGUGGUCCUCAAAAGCUUGCAUGUGUAG